GGGGUGAGGGCUGAGGAGGGAGUGCCUGGAAAACGGCGACGGAUGCCUGGCGUCGUGCCCUGCAGCUGGCGGCGCUUGGGGCCGCCGGGCGGGCCGCUGCUUUCCCCUGUCGAGAAGGCUGCGGACAAGAAAACGAUCCGGGAGGAGAGCGCCCCGGCCUGGGCUCCCUCCCGUGAAAGUCCGCGGGAUCCUAGGGCCCGGUAAACCAGACAGAGGCUCUGGGCGGUAUUACAGUCGGACGUUGAGAAAAGCCAAGAUCAGCCUUCGAGGUCUCUCUCUGUGCUCUAUCGCCUCUGUGAUCUCUGGCAACUCAUUUAGCCCGGUCCUCAGUUUCCCUACUCUUCUAGAGGGGCUGGCCAAGAAGAAAAGAUUUCACGUCACAAUCACUACGUGCCUAAUCUGCCAUGCCUAUUGGCCUAGAGGAUAAUGACUUUCUCUGAAGAAUGCGUCCUUUGGUGCCCAGAAGCUCAAGACUGUCUGCCCACCUGUGCCUGGUCUUCCCUUAUGGUAGAGCUGCAGUUCCUGUUGAUGGGAAGCCCGGGAGGCGGUAGCCUUGGCAGAGCUCCCCCGACUUUACGAUGGUCGCCGCAGUGCUCGUGACCAGCUGGCUGGCAGCCCCUCGUCUGGAAGAGCCGAUGAACAUUGUACUAAACACUCCCUGAAUACCACAAGUAGAGCUCCUCAGGGUUAGUGAUCAGAAUUAAACUUCGGUGUGUCUCACAGUUGCUCGCCCAGCUGCCCGGAAAGAUUAGUGACAAGCUUCAUGGUGGACUCCAGCUUCUCCUGCAGGUUCCUCAGCUCAUUCUGUUCUCCUUCGGAGUCGCUGCUGACCAAGGACAUGGCUCUCAUCCUUGGGAACCAGUCAAGGUUUC